rnacentral:lncRNA from 1 species
GAGAAAAAAAAAACAAAAAACGGAGCAAAAUCGGCUACCACUGUAUUCUAUUUCCUACCAGCUAUUCUUUCUUCUAAAUCCCUAAACCCCCAUUCAGCAGAUUCAGAUCUUCUUCGUCAAAAACCCACUUCUCGCAAGCCGCCUCACCGAAAGGUGAGGAAACCCGGCCUUCCGGCUUCCGGAGUUCGAUUGAAGAGGGACGGAAGAAGACGAGUUCAUGGACAUGCUGCAGGGCACUCGAGAUUAUUUUGCUCCAGCCACCUCUUUAUUCGAUUUGCUUCAGCCACUACCGUUGCCAUGUGACGGAGAAAAAGACGAGUUCAUGGACAUGCUGCAGGGCACUCGAGAUUAUUUUGCUCCAGCCACCUCUUUAUUCGAUUUGCUUCAGCCACUACCGUUGUCGCCGCAUCAGCCUCUUCUAUCUCCGGCUUCCACAGUCCCGGAGUCAUCGGAGGUGGUUAACACUCCGGCGACCCCUAAUUCUUCUUCGAUCUCUUCAUCGUCCACUGAAGCAGCAAAUGAUGAUCAGCAGCAGAGCAAAACGCCUGAUGAACAAGCUGAGCAAGACCCUCAAGAAAAGACCAAAAAAACG